GAUGAACGCUGGCGGCGUGCCUAAUACAUGCAAGUCGAGCGGAGAAUUUAGCAAUAGAUUCUUAGCGGCGAACGGGUGAGUAACGCGUUGGUGACCUGCCUCGAAGUUUGGGAUAACAGUUCGAAAGGACUGCUAAUACCGGAUGUGAUCACGAAGAUUAGAGGCUUUGUGAUUAAAGGAGAAAUUCGCUUCGAGAGGGGCCUGCGUCCCAUCAGCUAGUUGGUAAGGUAAAGGCUUACCAAGGCGAUGACGGGUAGGGGACCUGAGAGGGUGGCCCCCCCACAAUGGAACUGAAACACGGUCCAUACACCUACGGGUGGCAGCAGUAGGGAAUAUUGCAUAAUGGGCGAAAGCCUGAUGCAGCAACGCCGCGUGUGCGAUGAAGGCCUUCGGGUCGUAAAGCACUUUUGGAGGGGAUGAGGAAGGACAGUACCCUCCGAAUAAGCUUCGGCUAACUACGUGCCAGCAGCCGCGGUAAU
rnacentral:rRNA from 1 species